rnacentral:sRNA from 1 species
UCCAUUCAACCAAUUGUGAUAGCAUGGGA